GGAGGAGAAGAAGAGAAGAAGAAGAAGAAGAAGAAGAAGAAAAGAGGAGGUUGUAACACCCCUCAAUUCCGAAUGUUCGUAUAAAUUUUUGGUGAUAAUGUAAGCAUCUAUUUUAAUUGAUAAAAGAAAUAGAGUAUGAAUCAGAGGUAACUUAUUUUUAAGAUUUGGGAGAUCUGUUCAAAAAAAAAAAAAAAAAAAAAAAAAGAAAGAAUCUGAGGACCUAUAUGUAAACCCUAAGGACCUAAUCGUGAAUAUGAUAAAAACAAGGACUAAACUGCAAAAUGCACCAAAUGACAAAUUCCACCGCUUAAGCCUCUCUGCCUUCGUUGUUAAGGAAGCAGAGGAGGCAGCUCGUGGGUGAUCAGGGAAAGAAAAGAAGAAGAAGAAGAAGAAGAAGAAGAAGGAGAAGAGAAAGAAAAUUUGGGGCUUUUAGGGUUUUUGCUUUAAUCUUGUUACUUCGGGUCAAAAUUUGCAAAGGAUAGCGUAACUCUUGCUUAAAUGUUAAGAAUGGGCUGAGGCAGUGGAAAGUUUAGAAGACGUUGGGCAGAACUUUUGUUAGCAUAUAUGUAGUUGUGUAUAAGCUACGCUGCAUCUAAUGAAAUGUGACUAUGAAUCUAAACCUGUGGAUUUUGUGUAAGUUAAAGGAUCCCUCAUGUAUAGGGUUUUGGAAUGUUAAAUUAAAUUCGUGUAAUGAUAUGAACUUAUGGUAAAUCGAUGAUUGUGGUGACUGCAUGGAUUUCCCCACUUGUGGAUU